UGGUCCCUACGGGACGCAGCAGUGAGGAAUAUUGGUCAAUGGCCGGAAGGCUGAACCAGCCAAGUCGCGUGAGGGAAUAAGGCCCUAUGGGUCGUAAACCUCUUUUGUCAGGGAGCAAAGGCGUCCACAUGUGGACGAGAGGAGAGUACCUGAAGAAAAAGCAUCGGCUAACUCCGUGCCAGCAGCCGCGGUGAUACGGAGGAUGCGAGCGUUAUCCGGAUUUAUUGGGUUUAAAGGGUGCGUAGGCGGAGUGUCAAGUCUGGAGUGAAAGGUACCGGCUCAACCGGUACAGGCUCUGGAAACUG
rnacentral:rRNA from 1 species